CCUACGGGAGGCAGCAGUGAGGAAUAUUGGUCAAUGGACGAGAGUCUGAACCAGCCAAGUAGCGUGAAGGAUGACUGCCCUAUGGGUUGUAAACUUCUUUUAUAUGGGAAUAAAAUGUUCCACGUGUGGGAUUUUGUAUGUACCAUAUGAAUAAGGAUCGGCUAACUCCGUGCCAGCAGCCGAGGUAAUACGGAGGAUACGAGCGUUAUCCGGAUUUAUGGGGUUUAAAGGGAGCGUAGGUGGAUUGUUAAGUCAGGUGUGAAAGUUUGCGGCUCAACCUGAAAAUUGCAUUUGAAACUGGCAGUGUUGAGUACAGUAGAGGUGGGCGGAAUUCGUGGUGUAGCGGUGAAAUGCUUAGAUAUCACGAAGAACUCCGAUUGCGAAGGCAGUUCACUGGACUGCAACUGACACUGAGGCUCGAAAGUGUGGGUAUCAAACAGGAUUAGAUACCCGUGUAGUC
rnacentral:rRNA from 1 species